GGGGAAUAUUGGACAAUGGGCGCAAGCCUGAUCCAGCCAUGCCGCGUGGGUGAAGAAGGCCUUCGGGUUGUAAAGCCCUUUUGUUGGGGAAGAAAUCGUGCAGGUGAAUAUCCUGCGCGGAUGACGGUACCCAAAGAAUAAGCACCGGCUAACUUCGUGCCAGCAGCCGCGGUAACACGAAGGAUGCAAGCGUUAUCUGGAAUUAUUGGGUUUAAAGGGUGCGUAGGCGGACUAAUAAGUCAGUGGUGAAAGCCUGCAGCUUAACUGCAGAAUUGCCAUUGAUACUGUUAGUCUUGAGUACAGUUGAGGUAGGCGGAAUGUGUCAUGUAGCGGUGAAAUGCUUAGAUAUGACACAGAACACCGAUUGCGAAGGCAGCUUGCUAAGCUGUAACUGACGCUGAGGCACGAAAGCGUGGGGAGCAAACA
rnacentral:rRNA from 1 species